CAUAAAAUUAUGCACUUUACAAAAUGAAAAAAACUUGGUGUCCUAUGCCUGUAGUGUGAAUAUAUCACAAUUGAAGUUGAUCAACUCUUACAGAUACUUGGGUACGACAGUUUGUUGGGGAAAAAAUGGUCACAUAGGCCCCAUUGUGAGUAAAACAGGUGGUGAACUCGAAUCACUGGCAGGACUGGAAAAAUAAAAUCAGGACAGUACAAGAAGACAAAUAAGAAAAGAUAACAACAGGAGGCUGGUGACGUAGGCAGAACUCUGCAACAAUUACUGGUGAUUUAACACCAUGAAAACACACAAAUUCCCCUUGCUGUACAUUACUCAACAAUAGAAUAUGUAAUGUGGAACGUUCCACAAUUACAGAUAACUGCAAAUUUGUAAGCAUAGCCGUGGUUUACCAUUGACUCAUCUGCUGGUUACAGUGUUACAGCUGCAAUAGGAAGACUAUGUUUCAUAAUUUUGUGCUACUGUUGUUUGAGUGAGUUCUGCUGAUGUAUAAAUUAUUGUUUCUUCUUGCUUUUAUUCGUGAGCUACAUAGCUAAGUAAACUAACGUGAAAAUUCUGGGUAAUCAA